rnacentral:sRNA from 1 species
GGUGUGUUCACUCAUGUCUCACCCGAUGUAAAUAUUACCUUCUUGCUUUCUUUCCGGUGGCCCAAAAACCUUUUUUUCAAUACAAUAAUUAUGUUGUAGUGUGUUUCUUUUUUGAAAGCAACACUUUUUAUAUUUUUCUUAUCCAGUACUUUUUCUAUGAAGUUUUUCUUUUCAAUUCUUUUACUUUUUUGCACAUAAACUGCGCUUCUUUUUCACAAAUAUUUUCUUAAAUAUUCUUCUACACUUUGAGAGCUUUUAUUUUUCGUUUCUUAUUUGAGUUAGUCAUCAACUAUGCUGUUUUAUAAAUUUUAUUUUCUUUUGCACAUUUAAUUGUAUUUCCUUUAUUUCUUAUUGAAAAACACACGCGCAACUCAUACACCUGGGGAGUACAGCCAGACACGUCCGUUCAAUUUAAUUGAAAAUAUGCGAAUGAA